rnacentral:tRNA from 1 species
GGGGAUUUAGCUCAGUGGUAGAGCACUUGCCUAGCAAGCGCAAGGCCCUGGGUUCAGACCCCAGCUCCG